rnacentral:rRNA from 1 species
GACGAACGCUGGCGGCGUGCUUAACACAUGCAAGUCGAACGGAAAGGCCCUGCUUUUGUGGGGUGCUCGAGUGGCGAACGGGUGAGUAACACGUGAGUAACCUGCCCUUGACUUUGGGAUAACUUCAGGAAACUGGGGCUAAUACCGGAUAGGAGCUCCUGCUGCAUGGUGGGGGUUGGAAAGUUUCGGCGGUUGGGGAUGGACUCGCGGCUUAUCAGCUUGUUGGUGGGGUAGUGGCUUACCAAGGCUUUGACGGGUAGCCGGCCUGAGAGGGUGACCGGCCACAUUGGGACUGAGAUACGGCCCAGAGUCCUACGGGAGGCAGCAGUGGGGAAUAUUGCACAAUGGGCGGAAGCCUGAUGCAGCAACGCCGCGUGCGGGAUGACGGCCUUCGGGUUGUAGACCGCUUUCGCCUGUGACGAAGCGUGAGUGACGGUAAUGGGUAAAGAAGCACCGGCUAACUACGUG